CCUAACAACACACAACAUUCCAGGAAUGUACUACCAAAGUUCUAUCAAUAUUUGAAUGUCCUGGACAUUUAGGGAACAUUCGGUGAACAUAUGUUUAAAUUAUUCCUGGAAUGUUACCAUAAGACAUUCUGUGAACAUACUACCAAUGUUCCUAUAUUUUAAGUUGCGAAAUAAUACAUACGUGUAACAGAUACAACAUUACUUAUAACAUACCAGACAAACUAAGUGACACUUUAGGCCUACAGUGCAAUAAUAUGUCAAAUUUAAAGAGUUUCCCAAGUUCAAUUAAUACAAUAUUAUAAACAUACAAAUGUAAUAAAAAUUAUUGUUCGCGAAUAUUCAAUUUGGAAUGCGAUUUUGUUAAUAAAAAAAAUACUUAUAACUUAUGCAAAACCCAAGAGAGGCAUUUAUAUUUAUUUCUUUUGCCUUCAUUUUCAAAUUCGCCGUGCUAUAUUUUUGUGCAUGGCGCUUGAGAGGGCAUCACGUGACUAAAAACGACCAACCAACGACCUCGCUUCGGCCAUCUUGGCAUCUUCAUCUUGGCCACCUUGCUUUGCCGUGGGUGGAUCGUUGUUUGUGCUUUUUAAGAAUAUUUUUUUAAUUCGGAUACUUUUAUAAUAGCUUUAAUAGUAUUAUUAACAUAGUGAAUAAAAUGGUGUCCUGUUUUUAACGCAGUUGGAGUAGCAGAAACAAAUGUAGAUAAAAAAAUCUGCAGGAAUAACGUUUCAAUUAUGACAGAAGCUCCAAACAAAUGACUGUGAAUGAAAAGCCCUAUUAAAAGCUUUCCAGAAGAUCCUGCGAAGAAGACAUGAAGUAUAGAUCAGAUUUGUUAAUAGAGGAGUAUGUUCAAAACACUUUUUAGAAAAAGAUAUUGACAGAACUUCACUUUCAUCUGUUCGUUUAAGAGACUGUGCUGUUCCAAUAGCUUAUGUCACACAGGUAUAUGCAUUUUUUUUUCUUGGUUUUAACAUCUUUAAACGCGAAAUACGCAAUAGCUUAUCGAAUUGAUGCCAUGUUA
rnacentral:lncRNA from 1 species